UGCUCGAGUGGCGAACGGAUGAGUAACACGUGAGUAACCUGCCCUUGACUUUGGGAUAACUUCAGGAAACUGGGGCUAAUACCGGAUAGGAGCUCCUGCUGCAUGGUGGGGGUUGGAAAGUUUCGGCGGUUGGGGAUGGACUCGCGGCUUAUCAGCUUGUUGGUGGGGUAGUGGCUUACCAAGGCUUUGACGGGUAGCCGGCCUGAGAGGGUGACCGGCCACAUUGGGACUGAGAUACGGCCCAG
rnacentral:rRNA from 1 species